UUUUCAAAGGCCUUGGGGAAAAAAAGGGCCAUCAUUUCCAGGCAGGAAUUCUUCUGAGGAGAGUAUUUUUGUGCCUGGCUAAGAAGAGAUGAAAAGGUCAAAGAAAAUUAAAUUCACAUGCUCAGAACAUUUCAGGGCAGGUGUUUUUCCUAAGCCAGAUUUCAGGCUUGGGAGGGCGUACCCAGGAUUUAUGCCCCUCCUAAAGUUUCACCUGCUGCACUAGCACUGGAGGGCGAAGGAUUUCACAGCCCUGGCAGCCUGACUUCUCUGGACCGGACUCAAUGACUUUGCUUCGAGCUCAUUGCAAUUUGUACAGCUCGAACGAAGGCUCAGACAAGCGCUCCGGUCUGGCUGCUCAUCACUGCAUUUCACUUGGCAUGUAGGCAACGGAUGAGGAAUGCACAGAAUUUCCUUUUCCACCCCGUCAGAUCCUCUGUCUUGAGCCUGGCCCAGCCCCAAGAGCACAACGGAUGCAGCUGGAGAAGGGCAGGUCCAAUCUUGCUGCUCAGCUCCAGUGACACUUAACCUCCUCUGCUGCUGAGCUGCUUGCAGCUGGAGGUGGAUGUUAAUGAGCAUCAGCCUACUGAAAUGGCUCAUCAGGGAAGGAAGGGGAGUUGAUUUCUUUGACUAGAGAAUACAAUAGAAGCUGGAGCUCUUGUGGGAGAAGAUAACCCUCAAUCUCAAAGAAGGUGGUCUUUGGUUUUGCAGCUCAGUUUUUCUCUUGCUGUCGAUCUGCUUGAGAAGGGAUUGGUGUCCUGCUACUUGUCUCCAGCAGCUGCCUCGUAUCUGCUACCUUAUGGAUGCCUUCCAACUCGGGAUAUCCUAUGAGUCUUCCUUCAUUGUCCUUCUACUGAACCUGGGACCUCCACAGUGAGCAGCUAAAGGUAUUCUGGGUCUACACCGGUGAGAAGAGAGAAGCUCUCUGCGAGGCCUGGAAGUAUGACACAUGCUUAUGAGCAGACUCUAGGCACAUACAAUGUACUCAUUAAAUGCCACGGGGACUGCUGUGCCAGCAGGAGGGAUUCUAGCCCCAAAAAGCACUGCGAGAGCUGCGUGACCCCUCACCCCCAGGCAGAAGUGGGGGAGGACACCUCCAUCUUGUAAUCUGCAUCUGUCAAAAGAAGUGCUCUCCUCAUUUUUUGCCAGUUUGGGAAGGGUUAACGAGGGAAGCACAGCCCCCAGGGGCCAGCACUGUUGUUCCAUGCAGAUUGGCUUGUUCUUGUUUCUUCCAUCGAUCGCAAUCACUCAGAGCUGUGCCUGUAACAAACUGCCUUAAAUCAUUGCAAUCAUAAUAAGCACACCUUGGUAAAUAAUGCAUGAGGUGUCCGUAAGCCUAUAUUCAUUAGGAGGAAGGCGCAUAUAGAGCACGUUCUAGCUGCAUCAUCUGUCACAGAGAGAAGCAAAAUGACAAAGAGAGAUAAGAUCAGUACGUUUUAAGCUGGAGAAGAAAGACCAUUCAACCCAAGCAGAAGCAGAUAAAUAGGGAAUCAUUACCUUCACUGCCUUCAUCUUCACACCAAGCUUGCCACUUGCCUGGGCAACGUCACAAGAGAUGUGGCAACGUGAAACCACAGGUCCUGUCCCCAUUCCCUGGAAGCGGAACCCCUGUGCAGCUUUCAGAUACCCGCUGCCCAGAGCUCGAACCAGCCCAUUGUAUUUCAGAUUACCUGAAGAACUUCUCCGUUGGCAAACUCAGCCCAGAAAUAAGGUUUGAAGGAUAUUCCUGUGUUUCCCAGGAGCAUGCAGCUUUUGAAUUGCUAUUUCCCCUGGUAUUAGGAGUUCUGGAAGCUGAAGCCAGCCAGAUGAUCAGUAUCUCGAACCACAUCGUGAGGGUUCCUUUUGGGAAAAUGCAUCUGUAUAACGAAUUGUCCUAGGUGCAUGAAUGAAGUGUUGAAAAUCAGCUGAGGGGCAGAACAUAUGGGGAAGGUGUGUCUGUGGGUGUGCUGAAAUGUUAUCUCCAAAUUGCUCGUUAAAACUUCAUUUUAGCGUCCUGAUUCAGAUCCUGUUUGUUCACGUGCAGUCAGGAGCGAUUUUUCCCCGAAGAAAAGCAAAAUAGGCUGCAUGUUGAAGCCCUCUUUGGUUUGGAGCACAAAACAAUUUCCACUUAACCUCAUUAGAGGCCCUAUUUGAGCGGAUUUCUUUGUCAAUAUUGAGUAUAAUCGCCUUUGGCCCAUGCAUCCUUUUCUCUACCUGGCUUUGACCGUCAGCCCCGUGUCUGUUAUUUUUGGGAUCCACUAGUGCUGCUUUGGCAGGUUGUUGAGGCAGUUCCCAAGUAGUCAUUCAAACGCUGUUCAAAACCCUCAUCUAAUAAGCUAGAAGCACAGCAGCUUCCAGAGCUGCACUCCCUUCCAGCAACUCCCUUUGCCAGCUAGAAAUUACGCUAUUUUCCAAUUUCAUUAUUACCUCUGUUUUUUAUUACAGCAUCAUUAGAGUGAGAAAACUGGAAAGGAAGUGGGGAUUGUAUAAUGCAGGAAAUAGUGAAUUAAUACCUCUACCAUAUGAUGGAAUGGUGCAGAGCUGUGACAGUAUCAGGGAAAUAUAGAGCAAAUACAGGCUGUGCUGGCUGGACGAGGGCGAGACUUCUCCACUUGCACUGAGGAGUAUCUGCUCACAGAAAUAACUAUUUCUCAGAAAUGCAAGAUUUGCACUUCCUUUCUGCACGUGCACGUUGCAAAUAAAGCCAUCACGAGGAUAUGGAGUGGGGGGAAAAAAACAGCUUUUAUUGCACAUAGGUGGGCUGUAGCGUGUUGGCAAAAGAAGGCUGAUGGAUUGCCUGAGAAGCAGCGUCAGAGCAUUUGAAGGAAGGGGCCAUGUAUGAUGAUAACAAAGAAUUGUCUAUUCCUUACCGUGUGGCUCUACAGUGCUAAGCCCUGGGAAGUGUUUAUUAGCUCUUGAGCAUUUAUAACUACCAGCUUCAGCGGGCUGCAGUGAGUGGGAAAGCUUGGCUCCCACAGCCAGCAAUGUGAAGGGGUGUGUCUUUCAUUCUGAAAGGGUAGGCAGCACUAAAGAGAGAAAAGCACCCUUUCUGCUCCUUUUCUUCUUUUCCAAUGACAUCUAUGUUUUCAGGCUCGCUGGCCUUACAGUGACCCACGGAUCAGACCCAUUAGUUACUGUGCACCCUGUAAUUUGGGCUGAAGGACAGAACCGUGGCACUGCUCACGGUUUCUGCGGCUGCUCGGAUAAAAGCCUCUGUGAGAUGCAUCUCCUAAAAACCCACUUUGUUUGUAGUACCACCAGAAAGUAAUUAAACGCUGGUAUGUAUCGGUUUUAUUUUGACGCUGCCUUCUGAGAUGCUGAGCGACUCGUUAGCUUAAACAGCUCAGAG
rnacentral:lncRNA from 1 species